GACGAACGCUGGCGGCGUGCUUAACACAUGCAAGUCGAACGGAAAUUCCCUGCUUUUGUGGGUUGCUCGAGUGGCGAACGUGUGAGUAACACGUGAGUAACCUGCCCUUUACUUUGGGAUAACUUCAGGAAACUUGGUCUAAUACCGGAUAGGAGCUCCUGCUGCAUGGUGGGGGUUGGAAAGUUUCGGCGGUUGGGGAUGGACUCGCGGCUUAUCAGCUUGUUGGUGGGGUAGUGGCUUACCAAGGCUUUGACGGGUAGCCGGCCUGCGAGGGUGACCGGCGACAUUGGGACUGAGAUACGGCCCAGACUCCAACGGGAGGCAGCAGUGGUGAAUAUUACACAAGAAGCGGAAGCCUGAUGCAGCAAAGCAGCGUGAGGGAUGACGGCCUUCGGGUUGUAAACCGCUUUCGCCUGUGACGAGGCGUGAGUGACGGUAAGGGGUAAAGAAGCAAAGGCUAACUACGUG
rnacentral:rRNA from 1 species